UACGGGGGGAGCAAGCGUUGUUCGGAUUUACUGGGCGUAAAGGGCGCGUAGGCGGCCUGUGCAAGUCAGUUGUGAAAUCUCCGAGCUUAACUCGGAACGGUCAACUGAUACUGCUCGGCUAGAGUGCGGAAGGGGCAACUGGAAUUCUUGGUGUAGCGGUGAAAUGCGCAGAUAUCAGGAAGAACACCUAUGGCGAAAGCAGCUCUCUGGGACGGUACUGACGCUGAGACGCGAAAGCGUGGGGAGCGAACAGG
rnacentral:rRNA from 1 species